rnacentral:rRNA from 1 species
UACGAAGGGGGCGAGCGUUGUUCGGAUUUACUGGGCGUAAAGGGCGCGUAGGCGGCCUUGUCAGUCAGGCGUGAAAGCCCCGGGCUCAACCUGGGAACGGCGCUUGGGACGGCGAGGCUGGAGUUCGGGAGAGGAGAGUGGAAUUCCCAGUGUAGAGGUGAAAUUCGUAGAUAUCGGGAGGAACACCGGUGGCGAAGGCGGCGAUCUGGGUCGAUACCGACGCUGAGGUGCGAAAGCGUGGGGAGCAAACAGG